rnacentral:lncRNA from 1 species
GGAGCAGGUGGAAGCCCCCCCCCCUCCACUGCCUUCCGCACCCUGCCGUGCCCUGCAUGUGACCGCACGCUGCCAUCAGUGCCCGCUCGUGUGCCCAGUGUGUGUGCACGCGUUUACCUGUGCACACGUGUGUACAUGUGCACGCGUGUGUGUGAAGUCGCCCCUCUCCACUGGCUGCGCUACCCCCUCCAGACCAGCCCCCUUCUGAGGACUCAGGCUCCUGUGCCUGUGAGCUCAGGGUCCUCAGGGUCCUCAGGUCCCCGCAGGCCCGCAAAGUGCUCAUCACUUGGAGAGAGGAUGCUGCGGAGCUGGCAGUUGUGCCCCCUCCUGUGCCCAACAGGUCGCGUCUCACUUGUGAAUGCCUUGAAGGAAUGGAAACGCUGCCCAUUGGAUUCACACAAUCAUGGGAGACAAGAACCCGGGCUCACACUGCAGAGGCAUCCAGGAAAGGCCUGAGUGAUUCCCAGGGAACAACCCUGUCACCGUGAUGUUGAGAUCCCAUGUAAGCUGCACUGUGCUGGGUCAGAUCUGGUGGAAACCUUGACACAGAUGGAUAUCAAAUCACCACCACCAGUUUUGAGCAACUGAAUUCAGCUUUUUCCAGGAGAUAAAUAAAAUUCAAGUUCCCAAAUUAUGAAAUUCCAAGUUAGGAACCAGAUGAUGCUAUUUCACAGACUCAGAUCAGACUAUUUCUAAUUGCAUUAUUCAUGUCUCGUUCAUGAGGAAAGCUCAUUAUCUACAGCAUGGCUAGAAAAAUCAACGCCUGAUAACUAAGCCAUUAUUUCUUGUGAGAAAUUGAACGUCAAAUCUUGACACCCAAAAGACUGAAACAAAAGCUUCUCAGACUCUCCAGCUUACUGUACCUGUGCCCUCAAAAGAACGGAUGAAUUUGACUCCAGUUUCCUUCUGAAACAUUCUUCUGCCAACUCUGUUUGAUGUGUGCACAAACUUGCUAAGGUCCUGUGAUGAAACUUGGGGUUUGGAGUAAAUACGUAGUAGUUAAAACACAGUAAGUCACUGUUAAUGUGGAGCAUCUGUUUCUUUUUUUUAUUUUUUAUUUUUUUGGUACUGGGG